CCGCUCCGCCCCGCAGCCCCCCACAAGAUGGCGGCGCGCGGCCCCCCGCCCCGCGCUGCUCCGCCGCCGCCACUCACCGCCGCCGCCGCCCCGGCGCUUCUCUCCGCAACUCCGGCAACACUUUGCUCCCCCAGCGGCCCCGCGGGCGGCCAGGGCGCAUGCGCGGCCGCCCCGCUCCGGCCCCGGCCCCGCUCGCGGCCUCGGCGGCGGCUCGGCGGGGGGCAGGGCGGGGCCGCGCCGCGCCGGGCCCGGGGGAGGCCGGGCAGGGCCGCGCCGGGGAGCCGAGGCCUCGGCGGUGGGAGGGGGCUGGGGAGCUGGGGCCUGGGCGCGGCCUGGGGAACUGGGGAGAGGAUGAGAGGAUUCCCCCUCUUUCGGCCACUUGAGAAGAGGAAAGAGCAGGCAGGUGCUGCGGACUGAUUUAUCUGCAAGGAAAGGCGGCCGGGAGCAGCCCUCGCCCACCCUUUCUGCUCAGCUAAACGCUUCUCCUUCGGAGUUAAAGUGUGUCGUAGGGUGAACAAAGUUGGGGAUUUACUUAGAAUAUUAAGGCAUGUUAAUGUCUGAAAUGGAGAUUUAGAGAACAGAGAUUUAAGUAGAUAUUACCGCCAGGAUCCAACAGAUUGUGACCGAGACAGACUGCUGUAUUUUGCCAAUUCCCCCAUUGAUUAUUAAUGUAAAAUAUUUUACCCUGUUCUCUGCAUCUGUUAAACUUGUUUUUCUUCUUAUCUGCAAAUGUUAUUUUCAUUUGUAUUUGAAUUUUGAAACAAUAAAAGAAGUGGUGGUAUUUUUUUAA